rnacentral:rRNA from 1 species
UACGUAGGCUGCGAGCGUUAAUCGGAUUUACUGGGCGUAAAGCGUGCGCAGGCGGCCCGUUAAGACAGGUGUGAAAUCCCUGGGCUCAACCUAGGAAUUGCGCUUGUGACUGGCGGGCUCGAGUACGGUAGAGGGGGGUGGAAUUCCUGGUGUAGCAGUGAAAUGCGUAGAGAUCAGGAGGAACACCGAUGGCGAAGGCAGCCCCCUGGGCCUGUACUGACGCUCAUGCACGAAAGCGUGGGGAGCAAACAGG